rnacentral:rRNA from 1 species
CCCUUAGAUGUUCUGGGCUGCACACGUGCUACACUGGCAGGUUCAGCGAGCUUCAUGCCCUGAUCUGAAAGGAAUGGGAAAUCUUUUCAAAACCUGCCGUGCUUGGGAUAGAUGUUUGCAAUUAUUCAUCUUCAACGAGGAUUGCCUUGUAAGCGCACGUCAUCAGCGUGCAUUGAAUACGACCCUGUAUUCUGUACACACCGCCCGUCGCGCCUACCGAUUGAAGUUUUCGGUGAGUUGACAGGAGGAUUUUUUUGAAACUGGUUCGCCAGUGGAUUUUAGAUCCAAAUGCCAACGAAUCGAUGGCUUUAGAGGAAGGAGAAGUCGUAACA